GUCGUAACAAGGUUUCCGUAGGUGAACCUGCGGAAGGAUCAUUACACGUUCCGUCUGUAUGCGCCCGAUAGUCUCGUGCUAUCUCGCGUAUUCUUACUGCUACUGCUGCUGCCAUGUUGCUUGUGCGUGUGGUGGUGGUGGUAUGCAUCUGGUCUGUCGGUCAUGGCAGUCCAACAUUUUUGCGGUGGGGUGCCUAGCCUGUCGGAUGCCCGCCAGGUGUGCUCGCCUUCUUCUUUGGAUGGCCAGUUAACACCGGGGUGACAGGGUAGUGCAUGUGCGAGGUUGGGCUGUUUGCUUGUGCGCAGCUGCUCCUUCCACGAGUGCGAGGCGUAAGACUCGAGGCGUCGUGUGCUCUAUGUAGCAAUGAGGCGCCCUCGGCGCCCCACCAUGUGUCAGUUGUUGUUUUGUGUUGCUGUGUUUUACACCAUGUGGGCGUGGUCUUUCCAUGCUCUCGCUAACCUUGCUCUUCUGCAUAGUUGAGCACGGUGGUGCACUCCUUGUUGGCUAGUUGGUCGCUGACCGGCUGGCCCAAGUUCUGGUGUACCUAACAAGAUCGGCUGUCUUAUGGCAUUGUCGGUCGAAAGUACAACUCUAUGCGGUGGAUCACUCGGCUCGUGUGUCGAUGAAGAGCGCAGCCAACUGUGUGAAUUAAUGUGAAUCGCAGACUGCUUUGAACAUCGAC
rnacentral:misc_RNA from 1 species